AUUGAACGCUGGCGGCAGGCUUAACACAUGCAAGUCGAGCGGAGCGAGGGUGCUUGCACCUUAGCUUAGCGGCGGACGGGUGAGUAAUGCUAGGAAUCUGCCUAUUAGUGGGGGACAACAUUCCGAAAGGAAUGCUAAUACCGCAUACGCCCUACGGGGGAAAGCAGGGGAUCUUCGGACCUUGCGCUAAUAGAUGAGCCUAAGUCGGAUUAGCUAGUUGGUGGGGUAAAGGCCUACCAAGGCGACGAUCUGUAGCGGGUCUGAGAGGAUGAUCAGCCACACUGGGACUGAGACACGGCCCAGACUCCUACGGGAGGCAGCAGUGGGGAAUAUUGGACAAUGGGCGGAAGCCUGAUCCAGCCAUGCCGCGUGUGUGAAGAAGGCCUUCUGGUUGUAAAGCACUUUAAGCGAGGAGGAGGCUACUUAGAUUAAUACUCUGGGAUAGUGGACGUUACUCGCAGAAUAAGCACCGGCUAACUCUGUGCCAGCCGCCGCAGUAA
rnacentral:rRNA from 1 species